rnacentral:rRNA from 1 species
AUGGAUGACAACACCGAGGCGGGUGGCGGCGAAGCCGGUGGUGAAGCAGGCGGCUCCGGGCUUGGAGCCAGUUUUGACGACUGGCCGGACGACGACGAGGCGGAAAUCGUCCCACACCGCCAGCCGGCGUCUGGCCACGGCGCGGGUUCCUCCGCCGCGCCGCCUGCUCGGGGCGGCGGGCGGAAGCGUCGUGCCGUGUCGGGCUUGUUCGGGAGCCGGCCGAAGAAGCCCAAGGGCGGGGCAGCGGCGACUAGGCGGGAUGAGGCGGUCGCGAAGGCGGCCCGCUUCCGCAAGGUGGUAAAGCAGCCGCAGAUGGUGUCGGCGGCUCCGCUUUCGCUCGAGCAGGUUGCUGCCGCCUCCGUCGUUGGAUCGCCGGGAGGAUCCGGGAGCACCCGCCGCGUGGACCCCUGA